UCCGUCGUGGUGUAGUGGCUAGCAUUUGAGACUCUCAUUGACUACUCAGUGAGUAUUUGAGGACUCUCAGAACCCGGGUUCAAUUCCCGGCGACGGAA